GUGCUGGGGGCGAGGAGAGACAGUUAGGGACGGAAGCUGUUUUUGACACAUAAACACAAAUAUAUAUAUAUAUAUAUAUAUAUAUAUAUAUAUAUAUAUAUAU